GUUUCUAUUUUUAAUUAUAAGUAUAUACAAACAUAGCGUCUAGUCGCUAAAUUUUUCUCUGUUGUGCUCACUCCGUGCAUAUGUACAUAACUCACUUCAGUCACUUGCUUGCUGUUGGGAUGAGAAAUACAAAUCCGACAAACAAUUCGUAUAGAAGUAAAAUAGCUAUUAUUAAGUAAGCGCUAGUAGCAUGCAGAUACAUUUUAUACUAAUAAUAAAAUGUUUUAUUAUUCUUGGAUUUUCCCAUAAGUAUUGCUAAAUGUAUUAUGAAAGAUUGCAUGCUAUUAUGCAUAAGAAUAUUGAAAACUAGUGCAAUUGUAUAAAAAGUUGUACCGAAAAACUCAAAUUGUUUAGAAAUAAAUCGCAAUAUUAGUGAGGUGAAACAAAAAACAUCACUCAUACGCCAAGAUGGUCAAUCUUGAUUGCCAGUCCAGGCGAAGCACGAAGAUAUCGGUUAUUAUUCUGGGUGGUGCACUAUGCACCGUUAUGAUGGCCUAUUUCGUUUUUGGCGACAAUAACGAUGAACAGGGCCUAAGAAACCUACGAAUGAUCUCGAUUGUUUUUCGGCAUGGUGAGAAGACACCUAGUUCCUUUUACCCCACUGACCCACAUGCGCUACAUGAAUGGCCGGGUGGUCUGGGAGCCCUUACACAGAAAGGCAGUCAACAGGCUUAUAAUUUGGGUAAAAAUUUACGCAUGCGUUACUAUCGUUUACUGCCGCCAAACGGUAUUUAUACGCAGCAACAGGUACUCGCUUUAAGUUCGGCAGCUGAACGCUGUAUUAUGAGCGCACAAAGUGUCUUGGCAGGUUUCAUGCCACCACUUGACCACAACAAGAUUUUGCCAAUCCCAUGGCAGCCAGCAGCGGUAAAUGUUAUACCACGAAAUGAGGAUACGCUCUUGGCGCAAAAGAAACCGUGUUUGAAAUAUGACACAAUUCUGCAGAAAUUGUAUAAGAAUCCACCACCAGAGAUACGACAAUUAAACGAAGAAAAUGCAGAAUUACUCAAAUUGCUAACGAAACACUCAGGCAAGAAUAUAUCUACGCUAAUUGAUGUUGAAAUGUUGUAUACAACUUUGAAAGUAGAAGCUGAGGCAGGACUGGUAUUACCUGAUUGGACAGAGAAUAUCUAUCCUGACAAAUUGGAGUCAUUAGCCGCUCGUAGUUACUCACUUUAUACAGAAUCGAAUUUAAUGAAAAAAGUGAAGGGUGGAGCGUUUUUAGCGGAAAUAAUUAAAAAAAUGGAGAAUAAGCGAAGGAAGAACUUAAAUCCUGAUCGUAAAAUAUUCUUAUACUCAGGACAUGAUAUUACAUUGGUAAAUAUUAUGAAUACCUUAAAUAUACUGGACCAAACAGAUAUAUUACCAAGUUAUGCGUCUGCACUAUCGUUUGAACUUCAUCACAGCUCUUUGUUCAAAGACGAUUUCGAAGUAAAGAUCGUUUAUUAUUAUAACAGCGAAGACAAAUUUCCCAAGGAAAUUCACAUACCCAACUGCAAUGUUCCAUGCUCACUUACCCAAUUCAGCAAUUCAAUAAAUCAUCUGUUACUGGACAAUUACGAUGAUACAUGUGAAAAUCCUACCACAGACUGCAAAAACUAGGUGCAUUUGCAAAAUUAAUUACGCAUAAGAACGUUAAAUAAUGUCAUUUAUAACAUUUGAAAACUAAUAUGUGUAAGCACUUCCACAACAAGUUUUAAAAGCUUAGAACCUACUUAAUGCUUGGAAACUGUUAAAAAUAAAUUAUUGCCUUGUAUUCUGUUUUAUCUGAAUAUAAUUAUGAUUACGGGAUGACAAUUUUUAAUAACCCAAAAUGGGGUAAUACGGAUAACUAAGAUGCGAAAUUCAGUUUAUUACCAACAUCACUUUAUACCGAAAUUGUAAUCAAAUAAGCAAAAUCCAAUAUUUAUUAAAUUUUUAGAAUACAAUUUGUUGAAAUAUUUGAUUGAAUUGCUACUUACCAGAAAUCAGCAAAGAAAUAAUUGUGAAUAAUAAAUAUCACAUUUGCUGGCAACGCCAAAGUCCUGUCGGGAACGAGUCAAUUCAAUGAAAACAGAUGUUUGUUAUUUUAUGUGGAUAAGGAAUAAUUGGAUUUUGUGAAUUCAUAACACAUUUAAAUAAGCUUGGCAGAACCAUUCACAUUUAAAUUGAAGUGAGUAGUUUGUCUUUUUUUGGAACACAGGAUAAAAUGAUAUUUCGCAAUUUAUGCUCGUCAAGAUCCAACAAUUUAUAUUUCAUGUUGUUGCAACAUCAAAUAAGUUUCCAAAAAUGGUUUUGUAAAAUGCUGCUAAAGUGAGUACCAAGGAGCGGACGUAAAUCCGGAAGUAACUGGUUACGUCUUCAACUUUUGGGAACGGAAAUUUAUAUAUUUUUUGCUCUCUUUAUCGAUAUGAAAGAUUUAUAAGAUGAACUGUAUUUAAGGUCAAAUAGAAUAGUAGAAUCUUGCUAUUCUUGUUAUGUUACUACAAAUACAAAUAUUUAUAUCUA